ACUGUGCAUUUUAUGUAAGAAUUCAACAAUUGGGAGAGAAUUUUCUACAAUAGCGAGUGCGGUCACUCCGGGAACUCAUCUGUCCCAGCAAAGGCGAGUAGGCAGGCGCGCGCGCUGGCAAACCGCAGGGAGGGGCACCCGGCUUUCCCUCCUCCUGCUUCACCGAGAUCACUACCGGGGGCCCCUGGAAGCGACGGUCCCCAGGACACUCCGGGAGCCGGCUGGGUCUCGAGGGGUCGCUCCGCCCGGAGGCUCUCCAGGCCCCUGCGCAUGGCAGCCCUGGCCUCUCAGCCCCGGGCGCAAGCCCCCGAGUGGUGAGGCCCUCCCCACCGAGGUGAUUUCUACCCAGCGGCGAGCAGAGUCCUCGAGGACGGCAAGGCACCUCGCGCUGCCGUUGGGGGCGCACCGCACAGAGCUGGGGCGGAAGCUAGAGGGGAAAGGCGGUGAUGUUGAGUGAGAACCAGCCGAGUCUUUUCCAAACAUCCAUUUAAUCUUGCGUUCCUCUGGGUAUAAUGUCGUAACGUGAGUACAGGUUACUUCAUCCUGGCCUGGGUACAGCAGCUCCAAAGCGUGGGGAUUCUGUUGACUGAGAAGGCCCACAGCUUGAGAGCCAUGUGACUCAGUGAGAGGCCCUGCCUCAGCAGAAGCUCUGAGGGAGAAGCCACAAACAUGCUGGAGACAACAUGGCACAAGGAGGAAAGCCCUGGAGAGCACAAAAGAUCAGCUUUCAAAACAGGCAAAAAGAAUGAUUGCUCAGCAGUCACUGUGAAAUUUUGUGGGCAACAAGUUAAGUGUACAGACAUGAUCCUUGAUUUAGAGUCAACCUGAUCUCUCCACUACAGCUGUGAAAAUCUUGCUUUCAGCAAAUAGUUUAGGGAGAACUAUCAAGAGUGGUACAAAACUGCAGGUCACUGUGCUGGCCACCAGGUACUCCCAUCCAACAGAAGCUGGCUGCCGUACUC